rnacentral:lncRNA from 1 species
CUUCACCCAUGAAAAUAAUUAUCAUGAUGCUUUGUGAUAAAAAUGCACUUGCUGACAAUUUAGCCUUUGAAAGGUUAGAGUGCUUGUGUCAGAUACCACUGCUCUGUGAAAUGGUUCUGUACUUGCAGCACUAUGGAUUGGUUAAACAGGUAGAUCCCUGAUGUAUUUUGAACAAAAGUUGACUAUUAAAAGUGCAACGUGAAGUGGAGCAAUUUUACGUGGAGUUUCAUAAUAGGACAGGAAGCAGACUAAAGAAAAGAAAAAUAAAGAUAAUAAGUGUUCACA